rnacentral:rRNA from 1 species
UACAGAGGUCCCAAGGCGUUGUUCGGAUUCAUUGGGCGUAAAGGGUGCGUAGGCGGCGCGGUAAGUCGGGUGUGAAAUCUCGGAGCUUAACUCCGAAACUGCAUUCGAUACUGCCGUGCUUGAGGACUGGAGAGGAGACUGGAAUUUACGGUGUAGCGGUGAAAUGCGUAGAUAUCGUAAGGAAGACCAGUGGCGAAGGCGGGUCUCUGGACAGUUCCUGACGCUGAGGCACGAAGGUCAGGGAGCAAACGGG